AUUAUAUCAGUUAUAGUUUAUUUGAUGGUCGAUUGCUACAAGGAUAACCGUAGUAAUUCUAGAGCUAAUACUUGCACUUCAAACCUCUUCCGAGGUUGCAUUUAUUAGAUUUCCCACCAAUGCCCUCUGGGCUUCGGUGAAUCAUAGUAACUUAGCGGAUCAUGUCGUAAGACUUGACGCUUCAUUCAAGUUUCUGCCCUAUCAGCUUUCGAAGGUAGUGUAUUGGACUACCUUGGCAUUGACGGGUAACGGAGAAUUAGGGUUCGAUUCCGGAGAGGGAGCCUGAGAAACGGCUACCACAUCCAAGGAAGGCAGCAGGCGCGUAAAUUACCCAAUCCUAACGCAGGGAGGUAGUGACAAGAAAUAACGGUAGCCUAUCUAGAUUUGAUCGGCUAAUCGGAAUGAGUACAAUCUAAACACCUUAACGAUUAACAAUUGGAGGGCAAGUCUGGUGCCAGCAGCCGCGGUAACUCCAGCUCCAAUAGCGUAUACUAAUGUUGUUGCAGUUAAAAAGCUCGUAGUCGGAUUUCAGCUUUGUUUAUCUUUUCCUACCAGGAUUAGCUACGCAGGGCUUCUUUAACGGAAGUAUUCCUGGCAUUUAUUUGUCGGGUUUUUCAACCGUUUCUUUUACUUUGAGAAAAUUAGAGUGUUCAAAGCAGGCAUUGCCUGAAUAUUACUCUUGGAAUAAUAAUAGAUGACUCUGAUGCUAGUUUGUUGGUGCACUGGUGUCCGGAGUAAUGAUUAAUAGCGACGGUUGGGGUCAUUCGUACUGCAAAGCGAGAGGUGAAAUUCUUGGACCUUUGUAUGACGAACAACUGCGAAAGCAUUUGACUAGGACGUUCGCGUUGAUCAAGAACGAAAGUUGGGGGAUCGAAGACGAUCAGAUACCGUCGUAGCCUCAACCAUAAACUAUGCCAGCUAGGGAUGAGUGAUUGUCUUUCACUGACAUCAUUUGCACCUUAUGAGAAAUCAAAGCAUUUGGGUUCCGGGGGGAGUAUGGUCGCAAGGCUGAAACUUAAAGGAAUUGACGGGAGGGCACCACCAGGAGUGGAGCCUGUUGCUUAAUUUGAUUCAACACGGGGAAACUUACCAGGUCCGGACAUAGUAAGGAUUGACAGAUUGAAAGCUCUUUCUUGAUUCUAUGGGUGGUGGUGCAUGGCCGUUCUUAAUUGGUGGAGUGAUUUGUCUGGUUAAUUCCGUUAACGAACGAGACCUCAGCCUACUAAAUAGUCACGUUUCACUUGUGAGGCGUGUACUUCUUAGAGGGACUACUUGCAUAUAAACAAGCUGGAAGCUUGAGGCAAUAACAGGUCUGUGAUGCCCUUAGAUGUUCUGGGCUGCUAACGGGCUACACUGGUGCAUUCAACAAGCCUUUUCCCUGGUCCGAAAGGUCUGGGUAAUCUUUGAAAUUGCACCGUGCUUGGGAUAGACUAUUGCAAUUUUUAGUCUUCAACGAGGAAUUCCUAGUAAACGCGAGUCAUCAACUCGCAUUGAUUACGUCCCUGCCCUUUGUACACACCGCCCGUCGCUCCUACCGAUUGGAUGAUCCGGUGAGCUCUUGGGACUGUUCGCUGUGUCUCCCUAACGGGAGCUCGGCAUCGGAAACUUGAUCAAACCUAAUUAUCUAGAGGAAGGAGAAGUCGUAACAAGGUUUCC
rnacentral:rRNA from 1 species